rnacentral:rRNA from 1 species
AGUGAACGCUGGCGGUAGGCCUAACACAUGCAAGUCGAACGGCAGCACAGUAAGAGCUUGCUCUUACGGGUGGCGAGUGGCGGACGGGUGAGGAAUACAUCGGAGUCUACUUUUUCGUGGGGGAUAACGUAGGGAAACUUACGCUAAUACCGCAUACGACCUACGGGUGAAAGCAGGGGAUCUUCGGACCUUGCGCGAUUGAAUGAGCCGAUGUCGGAUUAGCUAGUUGGCGGGGUAAAGGCCCACCAAGGCGACGAUCCGUAGCUGGUCUGAGAGGAUGAUCAGCCACACUGGAACUGAGACACGGUCCAGACUCCUACGGGAGGCAGCAGUGGGGAAUAUUGGACAAUGGGCGCAAGCCUGAUCCAGCCAUACCGCGUGGGUGAAGAAGGCCUUCGGGUUGUAAAGCCCUUUUGUUGGGAAAGAAAAGCAGCAGGUUAAUACCCCGCUGUUCUGACGGUACCCGAAGAAUAAGCACCGGCUAACUUCGUG